rnacentral:lncRNA from 1 species
CUUGAACCCAGGAGGCAGAGGCAAGAGGAUCGCUUGAACCCUGGAGGUGGAGGCUGCAGUGAGCAGUGAUCACACCACCACACUCCAGCCUGGGUGACAGAGGAAGACCUUGCCUCAAAAAAAGAAAAAUAUAUGUGUCUGGUAUAAAAUCUUGACAGUAUAAAGUAAGUUCAGUAAAAAAGUCUCUUCCCUAAACAAUGUUCCCAAUCCUUCUCCCUCUCCCCAGAAACAAAUGCUGUCAAAGUUGUAACAUCCUUCCAAUUGCUUUUUCCCAGUAUUUUUUUAUUAGGUAUAACUUUCAUACUGUAAAAAUCACCAAUUUUUUUCUUUUUUUGAGAACGGAGUCUCACUCUCUUGCCCAGGCUAGAGUGCAGUGGCGUGAUCCCGGCUCACUGCAACCUCUGCCUCCCUGGUUCAAGUGAUUCUCCUGCCUCAGCCUCCCAAGUAGCUGGGAUUACAGACACCUACCACCAUGCCUGGCUAAUUUUGUAUUUUUAGUAGAGACAGGUUUCACCGUGUUAGCCAGGCUGGUCUUGAACAAAAUUCACUAAUUUUAAGGGUCCAGUUUGAUAAGUUUUGAUAAAUGUAUGUCCCCAAAUAACCACCACCCCAAUCAAAAUAGGUAAUAUUUUCAUCACCCCAGAAAGUUCCCUCCUGCCUCCUUUUCCAGUCAAUCCCACUAGACGUAAUCACUGUUCUGAUCUAUGGAUUAUUUUUGGCUAUUCUUUUACUUCAUAUAAGUGAAAUCAUAUAGUUUAUAAUCUUCUGUAUCUGGCUUUUUUCUCCCAACACAGUGUUUUGGAGAUUCAUCCAUGUUGUUGCAUGCAUUCAUAGCUUGUGCCUUUUUAUUACUUGGUAGUAUUCGGUUGCAUGAAUAAGUUACUAUUUGCUUAUCUGUUCACCUGUUGAUGAACAUCUGAAUUGUUUCCAUUUGAGGACUAUUAUGAAUAAAGCUACUUUAAGCAUUCAUGUACAAGUCUCUUUGUGAACAUGUGCUUUCACUUCUCUUGUGCAGAUGCCUAGAAGUGGAAUUACUAGUUGUAUGCUAAUUAGAUAUUUAACUUUAUGUGAGGUUGCCACAUCACUGUCCAAAGCGGUUGUACCAGCUUACACUCCUACCAGCAAUUUAUAAGAAGUCCAGUUGCACAGUAUUCUUGCCGGAACUUUGUUUUGUCAGUGUUCUUAAUUUUAGCCAUUCUACUGGGUGUGUAUUGGUAUUUCAUUGUCGUUUUAAUUUCCAUUUUUCUGAUGACUAAAGCUUCUUUUCAUGUGCAUAUUGGCCAUUCACAUAUUUUCUUUGGUUUUUUGGUUUUUUUUUUUUUUUGAGAUGGAGUCUCGCUCUGUCGCCCAGGCUGGAGUGCAGUGGUAUGAUCUUGGCUCACUGCAGCCUCCACCUCCCGGGUUGGAGC